rnacentral:rRNA from 1 species
CCGGCGCACGGGUGAGUAACGCGUAUCCAACCUUCCCAUUACUGUGGGAUAACCUGCCGAAAGGCAGACUAAUACCGCAUAGUCUUCGAUGACGGCAUCAGAUUUGAAGUAAAGAUUUAUCGGUAAUGGAUGGGGAUGCGUCUGAUUAGCUUGUUGGCGGGGUAACGGCCCACCAAGGCAACGAUCAGUAGGGGUUCUGAGAGGAAGGUCCCCCACAUUGGAACUGAGACACGGUCCAAACUCCUACGGGAGGCAGCAGUGAGGAAUAUUGGUCAAUGGACGGAAGUCUGAACCAGCCAAGUAGCGUGCAGGAUGACGGCCCUAUGGGUUGUAAACUGCUUUUGUAUGGGGAUAAAGUUAGGGACGUGUCCCUAUUUGCAGGUACCAUACGAAUAAGGACCGGCUAAUUCCGUGCCAGCAGCCGCGGUAAUACGGAAGGUCCAGGCGUUAUCCGGAUUUAUUAGGUUUAAAGGGAGCGUAGGCUGGAGAUUAAGUGUGUUGUGAAAUGUAGACGCUCAACGUCUGAAUUGCAGCGCAUACUGGUCUCCUUGAGUACGCACAACGUUGGCGGAAUUCGUCGUGUAGCGGUGGAAUGCUUAGAUAUGACGAAGAACUCCGAUUGCGAAGGCAGCUGACGGGAGCGCAACUGACGCUUAAGCUCGAAGGUGCGGGUAUCAAACAGGAUUAGAUANCCUGGUAGUCCGCACAGUAAACGAUGGAUGCCCGCUGUUGGUACCUGGUAUCAGCGGCUAAGCG